GUACACUCUUUGAAGCAGAGCUGAUGAGGUAUUUUUUGGAGCCUUUUAGAAGGAAGAGGCUGUCAGGCACCAGAGGAGCUGGUGGAGCAGGGAGAGAUGGCAGUGCCACAAGCACAUACACAGGCAACAAGAAUGGAAAAUUCUGGUCCUUGAUAAUGCAGUAAAGACUGAAAAACACCGGAAUCCCACUACCACAGGCAGUGACAAGCAAGUACAGCUCAGACCUGUUCUGCACAAGUCUCCCGGCCUGGCUACUCCUGAAGGAAACGUACUGCUAUUGGCUGCUCUUACGACUUAACAGUGCCUAUUUUUAUUCACUUCAGAAGCAGCCUUUGAAAGAACUGACAGACGAAAUAAUUAAAAUACUGAUUUUACUGUGCAAUUACAGUGAGAAAUGAAUUUGAGUGUUGAAUAAUUCUAGACUUCAAUUACAAAGCGGGAGGGUUGUGAGCACAGCACAACAACAGCCACGAGGUGACGAAUACUUUGAGAAUGUCCGGUAUUUUUAUUGGAAGAAAGAAAGCAGUAUCUGAAGGUCACGCACAGCUCCUGGGAGCCACCCACGGCUGAUCUACAGCUGCUGCGGAGCGGGACAGCUGCUGGGCCCCAGGUUCGGAUGCCGCGCCCCCGUCUCCUUCGUGGUAGCUCGUGAUAGCGGCGCUGCUCCCACAAGCUGCAACCCGCCGCUGCCCGCCGCUUUUAGUUCGGGAGAGCCGCGAAGGAGCGCUUAGGAACGCAUAGGAG